AGUGCUAUCGCCAAAAAGAAUCGUGCCAAUGCAGUACCUCAUACAUCUGGCAGCAAGAGUCAUGCCCGUGUUGCCACUGAAAUGGCUGUCAAACUUGGGUAUGAUCCUCGGAGAGAUCAAGUUUAUAUCGAAAAGCAUACAUGCAAGAAAGGGGAAAGGAAAGGGAGUUAUGUGCCGCAGGCAGCAGCAACAAUUAAAGAACUCAUAGAGAGUGCUGAAAAGCACCCUGAAUGGAAGGACAAAAGCAUUAAAGAAGGUGAUUUGUUUGCACGUGUAUGUGGACUAAAGGAGCCCAAGGGUCGUGUCCGUGUGUUAGGUCUAGGGCCAACACCUCAAGAUUUGGGCACACCGGGUACACGGGGUAAACUGAGCACAAGAGUUCUAGUUGCAAUGGAAGGGCGCCGAGAAGCUGAAAAUCACUUUAACAUGCUCCAGGGGCAUGUGCAACAAAUGGAGGAACGAAUGAACCGAAUGGAAUUGAUGUUAGCUUCAGAAGGAAGGCAUAAUCUGGAAACUCCUAGCUCGCACAACGGUUCCAAUUCUCGACAAAACUCCGGAGUUGAAGCUGAGGAAGAUAACGAUGCUGAAGAAGAUGUUGAACAGGAUGAUGAAGAGCCAUUUGUUCAUAGAAGAGUUGUUGCAAAGCCCCCUGCAAGAAGCUCAUCAGUCCAUGAAGAUGAAAGC
rnacentral:rRNA from 1 species